GCGGGGUUGGCGGAACUGGUAGACGCGGUGGACUCAGAAUCCACUGGUUAACAGCCAUGAGGGUUCGAGUCCCUUGCCCCGCACCA
rnacentral:tRNA from 1 species